UACGGGGGGGGCAAGCGUUGUUCGGAAUUACUGGGCGUAAAGGGCUCGUAGGCGCCAACUAAGUCAGACGUGAAAUCCCUCGGCUUAACCGGGGAACUGCGUCUGAUACUGGAUGGCUAGAGGUUGGGAGAGGGAUGCGGAAUUCCAGGUGUAGCGGUGAAAUGCGUAGAUAUCUGGAGGAACACCGGUGGCGAAGGCGGUUCUCUGGGCCUUACCUGACGCUGAGGAGCGAAAGCGUGGGGAGCGAACAGG
rnacentral:rRNA from 1 species